UACGGGGGGGGCAAGCGUUGUUCGGAAUUACUGGGCGUAAAGGGCGCGUAGGCGGCCUGAUAAGUCGGGGGUGAAAUCCUGUGGCUUAACCACAGGGCUGCCUCCGAGACUGUCGGGCUCGAGCACAGUAGAGGCAGGUGGAAUUCCCGGUGUAGCGGUGGAAUGCGUAGAGAUCGGGAAGAACAUCGGUGGCGAAGGCGGCCUGCUGGGCUGUUGCUGACGCUGAGGCGCGACAGCGUGGGGAGCAAACAGG
rnacentral:rRNA from 1 species